rnacentral:rRNA from 1 species
UUGAACGCUGGCGGCAGGCCUAACACAUGCAAGUCGAGCGGAUGAAGGGAGCUUGCUCCUGGAUUCAGCGGCGGACGGGUGAGUAAUGCCUAGGAAUCUGCCUGGUAGUGGGGGAUAACGUCCGGAAACGGGCGCUAAUACCGCAUACGUCCUGAGGGAGAAAGUGGGGGAUCUUCAGACCUCACGCUAUCAGAUGAGCCUAGGUCGGAUUAGCUAGUUGGUGGGGUAAAGGCCUACCAAGGCGACGAUCCGUAACUGGUCUGAGAGGAUGAUCAGUCACACUGGAACUGAGACACGGUCCAGACUCCUACGGGAGGCAGCAGUGGGGAAUAUUGGACAAUGGGCGAAAGCCUGAUCCAGCCAUGCCGCGUGUGUGAAGAAGGUCUUCGGAUUGUAAAGCACUUUAAGUUGGGAGGAAGGGCAGUAAGUUAAUACCUUGCUGUUUUGACGUUACCAACAGAAUAAGCACCGGCUAACUUCGUG